AGGAUGAACGCUAGCGGCAGGCUUAACACAUGCAAGUCGAGGGGCAGCACGUCUUCGGAUGGUGGCGACCGGCGCACGGGUGAGUAACGCGUAUGCAAUCUACCUUUUACUGGGGCAUAGCCCGGGGAAACCCGGAUUAAUAUCCCAUGGUACCAUGAUAUAGCAUUAUAUUUUGGUUAAAGCUUCGGCGGUAAAAGAUGAGCAUGCGUCCUAUUAGCUUGAUGGUAAGGUAACGGCUUACCAUGGCUUUGAUAGGAGGUCCGUGAGAGGGAGGACCCCCACCACUGGUACUGAGACACGGACCGACGACUCCUACGGGAGGCAGCAGUGAGAAGUAUUGGACAAUGGGCGAGAGCCUGAGUCCAGCAUGCCGACGUGCAGGUAAGACGGUCCCUAUGGUUGUAAACUGUCUUUUA
rnacentral:rRNA from 1 species